rnacentral:rRNA from 1 species
GUGCAAUGGCAUAAGCCAGCUUGACUGCGAGCGUGACGGCGCGAGCAGGUGCGAAAGCAGGUCAUAGUGAUCCGGUGGUUCUGAAUGGAAGGGCCAUCGCUCAACGGAUAAAAGGUACUCCGGGGAUAACAGGCUGAUACCGCCCAAGAGUUCAUAUCGACGGCGGUGUUUGGCACCUCGAUGUCGGCUCAUCACAUCCUGGGGCUGAAGUAGGUCCCAAGGGUAUGGCUGUUCGCCAUUUAAAGUGGUACGCGAGCUGGGUUUAGAACGUCGUGAGACAGUUCGGUCCCUAUCUGCCGUGGGCGCUGGAGAACUGAGGGGGGCUGCUCCUAGUACGAGAGGACCGGAGUGGACGCAUCACUGGUGUUCGGGUUGUCAUGCCAAUGGCACUGCCCGGUAGCUAAAUGCGGAAGAGAUAAGUGCUGAAAGCAUCUAAGCACGAAACUUGCCCCGAGAUGAGUUCUCCCUGACUCCUUGAGA